UACGUAGGGGUCCGAGCGUUGUCCGGAAUUAUUGGGCGUAAAGGGCUCGUAGGCGGUUUGUCACGUCGGGAGUGAAAACUCAGGGCUUAACCCUGAGCGUGCUUCCGAUACGGGCUGACUAGAGGGAUGCAGGGGAGAACGGAAUUCCUGGUGUAGCGGUGGAAUGCGCAGAUAUCAGGAGGAACACCGGUGGCGAAGGCGGUUCUCUGGGCGAUUUCCUGACGCUGAGGAGCGAAAGCAUGGGGAGCGAACAGG
rnacentral:rRNA from 1 species